AGUGAACGCUGGCGGCAGGCCUAAUACAUGCAAGUCGAACGGCAGCACAGUGGAGCUUGCUCCAUGGGUGGCGCGUGGCGGACGGGUGAGGAAUACAUGGGACUCUGCUCAGUCGCGGGGGAUAACGCAGGGAAACUUACGCUAAUACCGCAUGCGCCCUUCGGGGGAAAGCCGGGGAGCUUCGGGCCUGGCGCGGUUGGAUGAGCCCAUGUUCGAUUAGCUAGUUGGCGGGGUAAAGGCCCACCAAGGCGACGAUCGAUAGCUGGUCUGAGAGGAUGAUCAGCCACACUGGGACUGAGACACGGCCCAGACUCCUACGGGAGGUAGCAGUAGGGAAUAUUGGACAAUGGGCGCAAGCCUGAUCCAGCCAUGCCGCGUGAGUGAAGAAGGCCCUCGGGUUGUAAAGCUCUUUUGUCCGGGAAGAAAAGCAUCGGGCUAAUACCUCGGUGUUCUGACGGUACCGGAAGAAUAAGCACCGGCUAACUUCGUG
rnacentral:rRNA from 1 species